ACGCCUAGGGGCGUGGCCAAUCUUUUUAAGCUAUGGCGGCGAUGGUGGCUGCUUCUUUGCCCUCCAGAGGAUCUGGCGUUGACCCUAUCCAAGGCCAUCCUGGGCCUUGGAGACUUCCAGCCGGUGGCUAUGGACAGUUUUCCACUCUUUCCUCGCAGGAAUAGGCUGAACCUGCCUCUUCUUGCAUGGGCCUACUAAAGCAAAUAGUUUCAGGUGGUGAUCAUUGACUGGCUCCCAGCAAUUGUGACUUUCUUUAAUGGACUGGUUUAGGCCUUUCAUCAGCUUUGUGAAGGGGACAGGGGGAAUAUGGAGAAUGGAGCUUCUUCAAGAUGUCAAGAGUCACCUCUUGGGUCUUCAGAACCAUUAAAUGAUGCUUAAUAAACCUUAUUUUUACAAAAAUA